GUGCCAGCAGCCGCGGUAAUUCCAGCUCUCAAUAGCGUAUAUUAAAGUUGUUGUGGUUAAAAAGCUCGUAGUUGAACCUUGGGCCUGGCUGGCCGGUCCGCCUCACCGCGUGCACUGGUCCGGCCGGGCCUUUCCCUCUGUGGAACCCCAUACCCUUCACUGGGCGUGGCGGGGAAACAGGACAUUUACUUUGAAAAAAUUAGAGUGCUCCAGGCAGGCCUAUGCUCGAAUACAUUAGCAUGGAAUAAUAAAAUAGGACGCGCGGUUCUAUUUUGUUGGUUUAUAGGACCGCCGUAAUGAUUAAUAGGGACAGUCGGGGGCAUCAGUAUUCAACUGUCAGAGGUGAAAUUCUUGGAUCAGUUGAAGACUAACUACUGCGAAAGCAUUUGCCAAGGAUGUUUUCAUUAAUCAGGAACGAAAGUUAGGGGAUCGAAGACGAUCAGAUACCGUCGUAGUCUUAACCAUAAACUAUGCCGACUAGGGAUCGGACGGUGUUAUUCAUGACCCGUUCGGCACCUUACGAGAAAUCAAAGUGCUUGGGCUCCAGGGGGAGUAUGGUCGCAAGGCUGAAACUUAAAGAAAUUGACGGAAGGGCACCACCAGGGGUGGCGCCUGCGGCUUAAUUUGACUCAACACGGGGAAACUCACCAGGUCCAGACACAAUAAGGAUUGACAGAUUGAGAGCUCUUUUCUUGAUUUUGUGGGUGGUGAUGCAUGGACGUUCUUAGUUGGUGGGGUGACUUGUCUGCUUAAUUGCGAUAACGAACGAGACCUUUAACCUGCUAAAUAGCCCGCAUUGCUCCGGCAGUGCGCUGGCUUCUUAGAGGGACUUUCGGCUCAGCCGA
rnacentral:rRNA from 1 species